rnacentral:rRNA from 1 species
AAUAGAUACCCAGGUAGUCCACGCCGUAAACGAUGAGUGCUAAGUGUUAGAGGGUUUCCGCCCUUUAGUGCUGCAGCUAACGCAUUAAGCACUCCGCCUGGGGAGUACGGCCGCAAGGCUGAAACUCAAAGGAAUUGACGGGGGGCCCGCACAAGCGGUGGAGCAUGUGGUUUAAUUCGAAGCAACGCGAAGAACCUUACCAGGUCUUGACAUCCUCUGACCUCCCUGGAGACAGGGCCUUCCCCCUUCGGGGGACAGAGUGACAGGUGGUGCAUGGUUGUCGUCAGCUCGAGUCGUGAGAUGUUGGGUUAAGUCCCGCAACGAGCGCAACCCUUGACCUUAGUUGCCAGCAUUGAGUUGGGCACUCUAAGGUGACUGCCGGUGACAAACCGGAGGAAGGUGGGGAUGACGUUAAAUCAUCAUGCCCCUUAUGACCUGGGCUACACACGUGCUACAAUGGAUGGUACAAAGGGCUGCGAGCCGCGAGGUUAAGCCAAUCCCAGAAAACCAUUCCCAGUUCGGAUUGCAGGCUGCAACCCCG